CCUACGGGUGGCAGCAGUGGGGGAUAUUGGACAAUGGGGGGAACCCUGAUCCAGCGACGCCGCGUGAGUGAAGAAGUAUUUCGGUAUGUAAAGCUCUGUCAGCAGGGAAGAAAGCAAUGACGGUACCUGACCAAGAAGCCCCGGCUAACUACGUGCCAGCAGCCGCGGUAAUACGUAGGGGGCAAGCGUUAUCCGGAAUUACUGGGUGUAAAGGGAGCGUAGACGGCUGUGCAAGUCUGGAGUGAAAGGCGGGGGCCCAACCCCGGGACUGCUCUUGGAACUGCAUGGCUGGAGUACAGGAGGGGCAGGCGGAAUUCCUAGUGUAGCGGUGAAAUGCGUAGAUAUUAGGAGGAACACCGGUGGCGAAGGCGGCCUGCUGGACUGUGACUGACGUUGAGGCCCGAAGGCGUGGGGAGCAAACAGGAUUAGAUACCCCUGUAGUC
rnacentral:rRNA from 1 species